rnacentral:ncRNA from 6 species
UCUUUGGUUAUCUAGCUGUAUGAGU